rnacentral:misc_RNA from 1 species
GGGAGAGAGAGAGAGAUUAAAACUACAUUACGGCAUCAACAAGUGUCCACCAGAUGAACUGAAGCGAUGCUGUAAGAACUGACCACGUCAACUUGAAGAAAAAAAAUGACCAACUAGUUUCAUUGGCGCAGCAUUUGCUGCAGCUGAAGCACUUGAUUCCUUUGCUCAGGAGGUAGGAGAUUAAUCUGUUCUGGUGUAAGGCUCAUGACCUGCUGAAGCAGCGCUUUUUCCAUCUCAGGAGUCAAUGGUGUAGCACGACUGGGCUGAGUGCCAGGGCCCAUCUGACCAGGAAUCGUUGGCUGUGGUCCAGGAAGAUGUGUCAUUGUCAAGCCCUCUGGUGGGCCAGACAUCCAAGACGGUCCUCUAUCAACUUGCAUUGUAUUUCCAACUUGAUUAUUGAACUCAGCCCCCAAGUGUGAACCUCCACCCUGAUACAAUGAUGGUAUCUGACUUGGAAGAGGUGGCUGUCCUUGUGGAAAUGAAUGCCCUAUGCUAGCUUGAGGUUUGUUACCAGAAUGAAACAUCGGUUGCGAAGGAUGUUGAGGAGCACCAGCAUGCUGGAAACCCACAUUGGGCCCCAUUUGUGGUCCAUACUGAUGAUGAAAGCUUGGACCAGAAGGUAGUCUACCUUGCAGAGGCAGUGGUGGUUGCAACGGCAGAUGAGGAAUUCCAGUUGUCUGUAAUGGCUGUUGCAACUGAGUAGAGACUGUGGGCAUUUGAGGUUGGUGAAGUGGGGGUGGCUGUGAAGCAGAAUGAAGAGGUGGA